UCCCUAGAAAAACUUCGUUGCUUUGCAGUGUUAGUGACCUCUUCCCUUUGAGGAUCGCUAGGUGGAGAUGGGGCAUGAGGAUCCUCCAAGGGAAAAGCUCAUUAUCACUCAGCAACAAUACUAG
ensembl:misc_RNA predicted gene, 27927